CAGGUUUCUCCAAGUGGUUGCAGAUCACAUGAUUUCCUGAAGUGUUACAGCUGAUGUGUGUUUCCUUGUGUAUAUAUACUGUGGUUCCUUUAUCCCUUCAUCUGUGGAUAGACUGGUGCAACCAUGUGGUUCCCCAUGAUAUGAUUUCAUUGUGGUUUUCUGUCUGAAGAGUAUCCCGGUGUGAACAUGUGGAACAGUUUCUUUCUCCCUUCGUCUGUGGAUAAGCAGGUCAUGUCCUCCAAUUUCUGCACGUUGCUGCAGAUGCCAUGGUUUCAUGAAUUUCUGUGGCCGAAGAGGAUUCCUUUGUGUACUGUAGUUUCUUUAUCCCUUUUUCUGUGCAUGAACAGUGUGGGCAGAGGCCCCCUGCCCAUGGAGAUGCGCUGCAGACAGAAGCAGCAGCAGAGGCCUGGCUUCCUCAGGAAUUGCUGGCCAGUUUGUGGAAGGAAGAAAGUCCCACCUACCAUGACCACCCCCCAGCCUAGAGGAAGCUCCAUGCCAGCAGGAUGGACCAGCACGGGAGCCAGAACCCUGCUAAUGCUGCAACUCAUCACCCCCACUCCGCAGCCCAGCAGCCAUUGCCACAUCCCAUUUUCCAGGGUCUCCUGCCCCUGUGCCCCCACGUGCCCACGGACCCACACACCUCUCUUCCUGUUGGCCCAAGGUAGGCGUGGAGGGAAUUUUUCAAGUCCACUUUUAGUAUGUAAGUCAAAACAAAACAAAAAAUAACCGCUGCACACCAGGUCCAAUGCCCUUCCAAACUCACUCUUUCCUCUGACCCUUAAACACUUGUCCCGCAUCUCCCAGACUCCACUGUACCUUGAUCAGCAGGUCCCUCUUUACUGCAGUGUCUUUUUCGCAGAGUUCUUUUAGAUAUUUUGUGCUUUUGCUAUGGACAGAGGAAAGAAAGAAGGGUAAAUUUGGGAAUAACUGGGCAGAUUUGUGAGUUCCAAUCCAAUCCAUUUUGUUUGAAAACCCAGAGAAUCCCAACUUCCUGAGUGAGUGUUUCCAGUGGGGUGCUCUGAUGACAAGGGCUCCAGAGGACCAGGGUGGGACCCGUCAUGCUCCUCCCCUGGCCCAUCUCCACUUCAUGUGAGCCCCUGCAUGUUCACAGUUAGCUUCCAGCUGGACACAGUUCCACUGCUGGGUGCAAACACCUGACACCCUCCAGUUGGCUCUAGUCUGUUCCUGAUGGUUAAAAAUCCUUAGUCCCGAGUUGGAAAUCCUUGCCUAGAAGUCCAGGGCAGCUUAGUGACCACACCCACCAGCCCAUCCCUACCUCCAGUGUCCCUGGUCUCCAAGAACCUUUCAGAAUCGUUGAGGGCACAUGGGGAGACCUAUGGGUCCCUAGGUCCACCCAGGUGCUCCCAUGGAGAGAGCCCCCCUCACCUAGUCACUGCUGCCCAUGUCUUGUGUAGCCGAUGUAUUGGGUUGCUGCACAGAGCAGAGACGAUGGCGUGCACUGAGGAGAAGUUGUUGAGACUUAGGCACUCCUGGAGAGGGAAGAGUGAGCUGUGAGGUCCAGAGUUGGAGCCCGGCCCACUUCAGCCUCAGCCCCCUCUGCUGAGAUCUCCCCUCCUGGUCGAAGCAAAGGCCCAGGGAGCCUCAGGAGGGGACACCUGGGGCCGAGUGAAUGUCAGUCAUCUAGGAGGAUUGUAGUUUAACCCAAGGGAGAGCCCAGGUCGGAAGUGAGCAGCCCCCACUGGGCCAUGGGUGUCAAGUCUGGAGAAACAGCUACGGCCAUCCCAGCCCUAGGCCAGGGGAAAAUGCCGAAAGACUCCAGCGUGGGAGGAAGCGCAUCCCAAGGCCCAGGAUCUGCCAGGCAACUCGGGGAAGAGAAACUGCAGGCAGGACCUGCUGAAGUGCACACCUGUGGACCACCCAGACUGCCUACCACUACAGGAUGCCCUCCGCAUCUCCCAGGACUUGUUUCCAGCAUCAGGGCAGACAUUGACCCCACUGGACUGCAGUCACAAUGGACUGCCAAG